ensembl:lncRNA
AUGAGCUUGCCAGUAGGCCUCCAAGGAAUAUGCCGCAGCUGUGGACUUGUUAGGUCUCCUCUUCUGAAGGAAAUCUUGGGAGGAAACAAGUCAUCUGGUUUAUUUUCAACCGAUCUCCCAGCUUGCCCUCGAAACAUAAGUAAAUGUAUCUAUAUCUUUUUUCAAAACAUUAUAACUUUGAAUCAAGUAGAAAAAAAUACUUAUUUUGUGCAAUGGCUAAGUGAAUUAAUUGUCAUUUUUAGAAGCUGGAAUAGCUGAAAUGGUUCACAGACCCCAAUCCAAGUUUACAGGUAAUUAUUCAUUUAACAAAUUGCAGUUGUGUGUUGUUUUUUGGUGGUUUAUUUCCCCCUCCUGUCUUUUCCAGACAUAGCUGUCAUCUCUAGUUUUACAUGGAAAGACAAAAUUUAUUGCCAAAUCCUGUUUUCAAUUCUGGAUGCAGAACAUUAGAAACAAAGAGCUUGCUCAGCUUGGAACCAUUUAUGGUAUUUGUCUCCUUCUUGUAGACAGUGUUUUCUAUUGAAAAUUAAUUUCUUAAAUGACUGAAAAAUGAAUACAAGAUAGUUUAUUUUCUUUAUCUUCCUAGUGCUGGAAAUGCAGAAGAUAGGGACAUGAACUGAGAGCACAUCAAAGUGCAGAAUUUCUGCUUCAUUUUCAUACUAUGCAUAACAAAAUCCAUAAAGUGAGCCUCGGGAGUCAGACUCAAGGGCCUCUUGAUUAAGAAUUAAAUUACAGGUAUGAUUUACUAAAUUUGUGCUUGGGGAAAGGAGCUUUUUGAUGAUGAUGUGAUUGGUAAACUACGUAUUGCCUCAGCACCAUAUUAAAAUUAAUGGGAAUUGCAUAACUGUACAUACAAAAUACUUCACGAACCUUAAAACAACAUUUUGUCUGGUGUGUUAAGCCACACAACUGAAAUCCUGUGUCUCUAACUCCUUUACUAAAACCCAAGAGGGGUGUUGAGCUGGCACCCGCUCUUCUGGGACUGAGAUGUCUUUUGUUCUCAAGGAAGAUGUAAUAAGAGGCGCUUUCAUAUCAGCUCCUAUCUGAUUUUGUUUGCAUUAGGUUUCAUACAGUUGCUUUAAAACACUGAAAUGUGGAGCUAUUUGAAAGCAUUUCAAGGGCUAUGUGUUUUUACUGGGCUAAGAUAAAUUCCUCUUACAUUGCUUUCAAAACUGCUUGGAAUUAUUCUUAACGUAUCUUUAUUGCAUAAGUGUUGGCUUAGUUGGGAUCCUUAGCCAUGUUUUGGGUUCCAAGGUGCUGUCACAUACAAGCAACAUACGAAAACAAAGCUUGGAAGGAGAAAUAAUACCUUUAUUUCAUACUCAGGUGGAUGCAGAGAUGAGAGUUAUGUGGUAUGAGAGUUCCUGUGCCGCAGCCUCUGUCUGAGGACCCAUCUGUGUGAAUCAUGUCCAGCACAUAGCUUUGGGCCAGCAUGGAUAUGGCAGUGCUGCUGCUUUGUGUAAUGCAGACUGGUGUGGGGCAUCACAAAACACCUAUGUCAGCCUGUGCUAUAGUAUGAGUAAAUCAACAGUACUUUUGAUCAGCCUGCAGUGCGAAGUCUCUGCUCUUCCAUUAUUGUUUGGCUGUGUCAAGACAGGCGAGUUAGCCCAGUGUUUUUCACAGCUCCAAAUAACUGGUAUUCCCCCUUCCAUGGAUGCAGACAGGAAUUCAUUGUGAGGAGAUGGGAAUGGUCAGGGUCAGGUUUUCCAGCAUUCUGAGGUCACAUUAAUUUCUCUGAUCCAGGAGUGGCCUUUUUGCUGCCUGCACUUCAGAGAUUGGGCAACAGUCAUUUCGCUCUAUCCGUCUGUGAUCCUUCAUUGGGUUUCAAGAUUGCCCUAUUCCUCUAAAAACCUGGUGUUUUUGUUUUUGUUGUUGUUGUCAUUGCAACUUUGCAGCUUUUGUCCAGUAGCAGCAGAACGUAGAACUUUUUGUCUAAUGGGAAAAGUGCUUGAAUUAUCUCCACCUUAUGUCAGGGCUCCAUCACCUGCAGGCCCUGAAUUCGUUAAGGAGGGAGCUCUCACUCAGAGCAAGAGCAAAAAAACAUGGAAGGCCGGUUUCUUCUAAUGUAAAACAAAGCACAUAAUUAAAAUAAACAAAAUAACAUGAACCGUAAGGUCUUUCUG